rnacentral:lncRNA from 1 species
UCUCUGACUCGGCCAGAUGCUUCGACAGCCUUGAUCUUCUGGGAACCUCCCACCCCUAGGGGAGGCCUGCUCCUCCCUCCUCACCUGGAGGACUCCCAUGCUGUUGCUGAGUCACAUCCUACUUCAGAGCCUGGCUCAGGCCUUGUCUCGGCGUCAGGAGGGUGAGAACCCUCAGGAGGAUUUGCAGGGUCUCUGUCCCCUGUGUGGGUCUCUGGCACUUGGGGUUCCCCACCACCCACCCCGAGCGCAAGGGUGUGAUGGCCGCCUCUCCAGUUCCAGAGCCGACCUUGGUCUCCAUGGAGACACAUCCUGACCGAGUGCCCACCAAGGCUGCUCUGGGAAGUCUGACUUUCGUUUUCCCUUUCAAGGAUUCUCUUUUCAUAAUCACUUUCAAAGCCCCUGAGGGGGAGACGUCAGCCAAAAGCUAUCAUGUGUCCAGGUCCGAGGGGACCAAACCGGAGAGCUUGAGCUCUGAGACCUCAGUUUGGAGACAGUCGAGCGUCGUGUGCUUCCGGGCAGGAGGCUCACUCUCUGUAAAGGCAGCAGGUGCAUCAGGCUGCAGCCUGGGAAGUGGGGCUUCCAGAUUCUACUGAGAAAAGAGAGCGUGAUUGACAAACACGGAGUCUCCCGCACGCAGGGUUCGUCUUCCUGGUGUUCCAUGGCAGUCUCCAUCGGAAUGUGUUCACCACGUACACUAAGGGUCAUUUUUCAGCCAAAAGGCAUUUCUUCAUCGUUUCUGUCGGAUGGGAAUGCGGACCUUUGGAAGGUUUUCGUGCAUAAUGGUGAUGAGUCUGGGGUGAGUCCUCUGGACGUGCACAGAG